AACCCAUAGAACAGAAGUUGACUUCAGAAGAUGUGGGAGCUUCACCCCUAGAAACUUUCAAGAAAAGGCUGGACUGCCCUCUGUCAGAAAUGGUGUUGGUUCUCCUGCUUGGGCGUGGGUGGGGGUUGGACUAGAUGACCUAUAAGGUCCCAUCCAACUC